UCCACCGUAUUUCUCCCCUCUUUCUAUUGCUUUCGAUGGCAAUUCUUGCAUAUAGCAACAUUGUUAAAAUGUCAUAUAAUCAUUAGUAUAACAAUUUUCACUAUUUCUUAUGCACUUGCAUUCCGUGAUUCAGUGACUAAUUAAAUUUGUGUUUACCGGAUACAAAAAUAGAAGUUGAGGUGAUUAGUUAGUCGAAAUAAAAGUUUGGGGUGUCUAAAGGGUUUUUAGCGAAAGUGUAAGGGGCAGGGUGUGUAUUUGGCCUUUCUUGCGAUGCAGACCUGAUUUAUAUGUGCCUAUUCUUUCAUCAUAAUCAUCUUGUCAUUGUCUUUCUUUCGUUCAGAGUAACUAAGAUCAGUUGUAAAGGCCUGGGCAAAACCUGAUUAAUCCUUUCCUUUUCAUGU
rnacentral:misc_RNA from 1 species